rnacentral:rRNA from 1 species
AGUCAAGGGGAAUAGGGUAGCAAUAUCCUUAGUACACUGGCGCACGGGUGAGUAAAAUAUAAGUAACCUACCUCUAGAUAUGGGAUAACAUUUCGAAAGAAAUGCUAAUACCGUAUAAUGCAGCGGCACCACAUGGUGAUGUUGUUAAAGUUGUAGUAAACGUCUAGAGAUGGGCUUGUAACUGAUUAGCUAGUUGGCGGGGUAACAGCCCACCAAGGCUACGAUCAGUAGCUGGUCUGAGAGGAUGAUCAGCCACACUGGAACUGAGACACGGUCCAGACUCCUACGGGAGGCAGCAGUGAGGAAUAUUGGGCAAUGCCCGCAAGGGUGACCCAGCAACGCCGCGUGGAGGAUGAAAGCCGUAAGGUUGUAAACUCCUGUGAGAGGGGACGAAUGAUUACGUUUCGUAAGGAACGUGAAGUGACUGUACCCUCAGAGGAAGCCCCGGCUAACUACGUGCCAGCCGCCGCGGUAAUUC